UACAAUUUUCCUUGUUGGUUGCGAAGUACCCACGGAAUCUCCUCCUUUUUUUAACAUUGUUUCAAGAUUACUCAACAACUGUCAAGAGAAUGCAAAAAGAGGACCGAAAGAUACCAAAGGAACAGUCAAGCUCUGAAAUCGAAAACAAACCGACAACGCCAUGGCCAAAAAAUAAAAGGACAAACAGAAAACAAUAGCAAACAAAACACAAC
rnacentral:lncRNA from 1 species